ensembl:lncRNA
UCCAGCCCAGGAAGAGGAAAUUUGGACACAAAGAAGAAAGACCAUAUGAAACUGUAUUGAGAAAGUGGCCACUUGCAAGUUAAAGAGAGCAGCUUCAGGAGAAACCAACCUGUUGGUACCUUGCUCUUGGACAUGCAGUAUCCGGAAAAUUUCUGUGGCCAUAUUGUGUCCAAAAUGAAGUGAGGAGAUAAAUAUAGCCUGUGGAAACAGUGGAAGCUGAGCAUGUACAGGGGGAAAUGCAGUGGGAAGCUGAGAAAACAUGUAAUAACUUUAAUUGGCAGGGAAAGCCAUCAGUGCAUCUUGGGGGAAAAUACUACUGUCCAUUGCAGAAUUUCUGAG